rnacentral:tRNA from 1 species
CUCAGUGGUUAAGAGCACUGUUUGUUCUUCCAGAGGUCCUGGGUUCAAUUCCCAGCAACCACA